CCUCAAUUCAUCAGAACUCACCGAACCUGUGGGCUGAAACCACUGGUAUUUAUUUAACUAAGUGCAGCUGUUUCCUGAGUUUAGCAGGCAAAGGAGCAGGAGGGGGAUGUGUGCUGGAGCUGGGAAGUACUUGGAUGAAAGAAAGAGCCUUUCUCCAUGAGUGCGUGCCAGCCUUUGGGAGAGAAACUUGAUGACCGAGGAUUGCAGCAACAAAGGCAAUUAGACGUCUGCUGCAUAUGCAUUAAAUAGUCUAUAUAAUCCUAGAAUGAAGACGUUACUAAGAACAGCCCAUGAGGAUGCUGAGCUAGAGGAAGCAUGACAAUAGAUAAUUUCAAAUCCAGCCAAGCUUGAAAGAGCUUUUCUUAUUUCACAAAACCAUUGAAUGUGCAGUACUUACAGCAUUAAUUCUUGGCCCCUUGGUAUGUGCUAACUACAGCCUAACUCCUGAGGGCAUCUUCAGAGCAGCUGUCAGAAAGCCAUGGAACUUUGUGUCACCCAGACCAGAAUACACAGUGCUGCUCACGAACCCCUCUGUCACAGCAGACCCAGUAACUUAUCUGUCACUAAAAGUGGGAUGUGCAGAGUUUGCCUGGGUGAGAGCUGAAAACCUGAUGGGGUUUGAGAGUAAAUGUUUCAGUGCCUCUUCUAAAUACUUGAGGAAUGCUCCUAACAUCCUGAUGCGAUGAGUGCAAAAGGCAGACAGGGUUUUCGGCUCAUAUAUUCCCAUUAUAGAAAGUUGGAAGAUCUGCUCUGAGCCACUAUACAGAUCCAAACCUGCCUGGCACAUCACCUGGCAGAGCCCUGCUGCCAGCCCAUGGGCAGACCAGGUGAGGCCUGCAUCUCCAUCACUGGAGGAGAUCUACGCUGAGGCAGAAGAAAAACCAUCAGAUUUACAGCAUUUGAUGAAGUGUGUGCUGAUAAUGAGAAGAUAUGAGGAAAAGCUCUUCCAGCCUGCAGAGCGAGUCGUUCUGUGUGUUUCACAUCCACAUCUACGUGACAGCACGUUGUGGUUAAAGUCAACUCUUAGAACUUCUCCUGGCCCUUUAACUAGAUCCCCAAGAGAUUUAGCAGACCUUUGAAAAGGUACCAAGGGAGACUGGAAACUACCAGGACAGAUAUUUGAAGACGAUCAGC
rnacentral:lncRNA from 1 species